rnacentral:rRNA from 1 species
AAUGAACGCUAGCGGGAUGCUUUACACAUGCAAGUCGAACGGCAGCGCGGACUUCGGUCUGGCGGCGAGUUGCGAACGGGUGAGUAAUGUAUCGGAACGUGCCCAGUAGCGGGGGCUAACUACGCUAACGCGUAGCUCAUACCGCAUACGCCCUACGGGGGAAAGCAGGGGAUCGUAAGACCUUGCACUAUUGGAGCGGCCGAUAUCGGAUUAGCUAGUUGGUGAGGUAACGGCUCACCAAGGCGACGGUCCGUAGCUGGUUUGAGAGGACGACCAGCCACACUGGGAGUGAGGCACGGCCCAGACUCCGACGGGAGGCAGCAGUGGGGAAUUUUGGACAAUGGGGGCAACCCUGAUCCAGCCAUCCCGCGUGUGCGAUGAAGGCCUUCGGGUUGUAAAGCACUUUUGGCAGGAAAGAAACGUCGCGGGCUAAUACCCCGUGGAACUGACGGUACCUGCAGAAUAAGCACCGGCUAACUACGUG